CUCAUACAAAUGGCUUUAUUCAUAUUUCUGUGGUUUAUAUACUACACCAUGUUUCUAUCACUGCUGCAAAGGAUAAAUCACUCUACAGUACUGUAUCAUCUACUACUUUCUGUUUGUCUUCAGCUUGGGCUGUCUAUCCUGUUCUCUGUUCAAUUCAUUAAUCUACAGAUUUGUUUCUGGCAUAGAACUGAGACAAAGUUGCAUUCUACUAAGGCUUGGUAAAUCUAAAGGAGAUAAUAUAUCCUGGAACUUCCAGAUGCCCUACUGUGCAUCUUCCAAUGGGUGGUUGUCUCUUCUGUUUCAAAUUGAUAUGAAGUGCAUAGAAGAACAGAUCUUGGUGAUCAUAAAUGCAUAUGCAGUGAAGAAGGUGGAAAGUUUCCUUUAUUUUCCUUUGUCUCCUGUGCUAACCAUCAACACAAAUAUUACACAGAAACAAAUUUCUGUGGAAAAAAAAAACAAAAAAAACAAAAAAACACAGUGUGUCUAUAUUUAUACUUCAAUUUUAGACUUUCUGGUCACUCACAUUUUUAAAAGUAGGACAGAGUUAGAAGCAUAUACAACUCAUGUUGUGGCAGAGGGAGGCGACCUAGGAGUUGAGGAGGGAUGGAGACAGGUCCCUGCUCGACCUUUCAGGCAAUGCACCUCCCUACCGGCCCCACCUUCCCAGGUGCCCUUACGCAACAGAUUUGAGGCCCUGGAGCUUGAGAGACUGGUGGGUGAGGACGAGGUAGAAAGUCUACCCAGGAGGAUGCCUAGGGCGAGGAAGCCGACUCCACGCCUCAAGACUGCCUCCACCAAGAAAGACAGAAGGGUGAUCAUAGUAGGCGACUCCCUUCUCAGGAGAACAGGGGGCCCUAUUUGUCGAGCUGACCCUACCCUUAGGGAAGUCUGCUGCCUCCAUGGGACCUGGGUCAGGGAUGUUGCCAGAAAGCUUCCCAACCUGGUUCGCCCCUCUGACUACUACCCUCUUUUGAUAGUCCAGGCUGGCAGUGAUGAUAUUGAUGAGAGAAGCCUGAAGGCUAUCAAACGGGACUUUAGGGGUCUGGGACAGUUAGUGGAUGGAGCGGGAGUACAGGUGGUGUUUUCUUCUAUCCCUGCAGUGGCAGGGAGGGGUACCGAGAGGACACGGAAAGCCCACCUGAUUAACACGUGGCUCAGAGGCUGGUGCCAACACAGAAAUUUUGUGUUUUUUGACCAUGGGGCGCUUUACUC
rnacentral:lncRNA from 1 species